AGACGGGGAUGACGGACGCUGAUUACAUCGCAGCUUUUCAACAGCUGCUGCUGCCUGUAGCCUACGAGUUUGGGCCUCAGCUGGUUCUGGUCUCUGCUGGAUUUGAUGCUGCAGUCGGAGAUCCGAAGGGGGAGAUGUGUGUGAGUCCUCAGUGUUUCCAUGUUCUGACUCACAUGUUGAUGAGUUUGGCUGAAGGUCGACUCGUUCUGGCUCUGGAGGUAAAAACCUGUUUCAAGACGUUUUAUGAAGAAUAACAGUUUAAAUUUAUAUUUUUUGGGUGUUGAAUUGUGAUUCCUUUGGCAUGUUAUCUAAUCAAUGAAGCAAUUAUUUUUUCGUCACAUGAUUUCUUUGCUUCUGUCAUUACACGGAGACAUUUCACUGAGGUGCUAUUCUCUGAAUCCUGUUAAAAACAUCUAAUAGCUUUUUUAAAUUCCAAAAUAAAUUUCACAUGAUAAACAAAA